UGAUUACUUUAUCUUCUUCUUUUAAUUACUUCUGAGAGCGUCUUUCGAGACAAAAUAUCGUUAUAAAAUGUUUUCGAACAGAGUCAAUGGCGCCAAAAUUACGCCGGCCUAAGGGCUCUGAUCUAAAACCCAAAUAUUGUGAGUGUGACUCCUGUUCGGAAUAUGACAAGUUGUGUUCUGGUGAACGUUACCACCAACCACUAAUCAGACCUAACUUGUCCUUCGUAAGGAGUGUCACUUCACUCUCAAAAACCUUUAAGGUCAAGAAACUUCGAUAUAAACUGUUCCCGAUCACUGAGGUCGAGAGGCCCAUACCUCUCGUCUACAUCGGCGACCCAGAUCCAAGGUUCCACUUUUACGCGGAUAAAUUCCUGACCGGACCUUCCCAGUUGGAGCCGUACAAGGGAGUUCCUGACGACCACGUGGAGCUGAUAGUUUUGGAAUAACAGCAAGAGGAAAAGGUACCCUUUUUAAAAUCGGUCCCCUUUUUCCACCAACAUAAUAAAUUUUACGGAAUAAUGAGGAAAUUUUGGCCAAUUUUCAUUGCCUUUGUGGCUCUCCUUCCCUCUGCACAUGGGUUACUGGGGUAUGACUGUGGCGGAGGAAAUCUAAAUUUAACAACGAUAUCAUUACUGGAUGUAGAGGAAUGUGAUAUUCCAGAAACUAAAGUUAAAACAGAAAAUAUUAAAAUACAAUUGUUACAAACUAUAGAUUUUAAGGAAGUAGAGAUUAUAGAAUGUAGAGUCGAGAUUGAUCGACAAAUACAUCGCUGUGGAAUGCAUUCUCAUUCCUCAGUCGUCGCUAAUUACCGUAGAAACUACUUACUAGAUUUAAGCGAAUCAUUAUGUCGCGAUAUGUAUCAUACGGGGUCAUUCCCCCUUGCGUACAACGUUCCAGUCAAUGGUCUCCAGCGGAAUGCAACCAAUCAUCGACAUGUCAUGCUGGGUGGUUCCCUGGGUAAUGAUGGCACGUGCGAGGGCACAUCGUACAGCGAUCCCUUUGGAGAUUGGUCCUACGUGGUAGUGGAUGCCAACUUAUAUAUCACUGUUAAUAAAUAUAUGGGUCGUGUAGACAUUAAAUCGGGAAUGGUUGCUCUGAGGUCAGGGCAUAAAUGUAAUUUAAAAGAUUUGAAAUGCAUAGAUGGAGCAGGAUAUUCAGCGUUUUGGAGAGACAUCCCUGCAGACAGUUGUCCACUCACCAAGUUUGGAGUUCUAUACGAGGGGAUGGCCACUCACAUCAUUGGAAGCGCACCAAAUCCAGAUGUAUAUACAGUCACUACAGAAGAUAUUACAUUCGCAUUGGCCAGGAAGGUGGUACAUGACCUUUGUGGGUUCAGGGUCAUCAGCACAGAGCAUCCGAAGCUGUUCAUCGUCGAAGGAGGAGGGGCACCUAAUGAUGGAAAAGUUAAAGUCGACAACAUGGACAUCUUCACCUACAUCAACUCAAAAUUUGUAUAUGUUGAAAGGCACAUCCGUUUGCAAAUGGAAAAUCUAUAUCAUGACAUAUUGGUCCAUCGCUGUGAGUUGGAGAGAAGAAUAUUAAUGAAUAGCCUGGCCCUGUCUUCAAUUAACCCAGACCAGUUCAGCUACGCAUUAAUGAAAGUACCCGGGUAUUAUACAGUCAUCGCUGGUGAAGUUGUGCAUGUCAUCAAGUGCAUCGGAGUACCGGUUAAGAAACGUCAAGCAGAGGUAUGUUAUCAAGAAUUACCUGUUACUUACAAAAAUGAAAGUUACUUCCUGACUCCAAAAUCAAGAACCUUAACUAAAAAGGGUACUAUUGUGGAAUGUAACGAAUUCCUGCCCAUUCAAUUUGAUAUUGAUGGAAGGUGGUACCAGUUUUUACCAAAGGUAUCGACAGCUCCAUUACCACAAAGCCUAAAGCCGGAAACAGAACCCAGCUGGAGUUAUAACGAACCAAUGCAUCUAGCUCAAAGCGGAGUCUAUUCACAAGAAGAUUUGGAGAAAUUAAGAGAUCGCAUCAUGUUUCCGGUGGAAAGAGAAGCAUUAUUGAAUUCAUUAGCUAGGGGUGUAACGGGAAGAUCAACCGGAGACAAACAAAUAUCGUUGAUAGGACUAUUGGACGAAAACGCACUAAACAGAAUUGCGGAGUCAACUGCACAGAAGAUAUGGGGUGGUUUUGUGGAAUUCGGGUCAGUAAGUGCGGGGAUAAUGGCAAUACUAAUGAUUAUUAAAAUUUUCAAAUAUGUGGCCGAUACGAUUAUCCAGGGUAAAGCGCUGCAUGAAACUUAUGGUUGCGGAAAAGAGAUAUUCGGUGCUCUUUGGAACGCACUCACUUCAUAUCUAUUACACAGGCACCAUCAAAGAAAUUCUCAACAACCGAAUAAACCUGAAGAUCCACCAACAGAAGUCAUCGUCAACCAGCCAAUCAGCACCCCACCAGUACCACCACCAAGACAGUAUUAUAGUGCAGCCAGUAGAAGUCUAUACGACUUGAGAGAUAGCGGGUCAAUCGGGUCAACAUCUGAUGUCUUGAAGGGUGUCGAUCCCGUUUUGCUAAGUAAACUUCGUAGAACACACGAUCCAUAACCCCGUGUGUUCAACUAAGGGGGAGGGUGUUACGUCCUCGUCACCCUUCAACACCUUUUUCAAAUAAACCCACCAAAAUUAUUAUUAUUAUUCUGGGAAAUGCCCAGCAUGAACAACUCAUACGGACCAUCCCCGUACGAUACUUUCACAAAACUUAUAUCUCAGAGAAAAACGUCAAGAAACUUCGAUAUAAACUGUUCCCGAUCACUGAGGUCGAGAGGCCCAUACCUCUCGUCUACAUCGGCGACCCAGAUCCAAGGUUCCACUUUUACGCGGAUAAAUUCCUGACCGGACCUUCCCAGUUGGAGCCGUACAAGGGAGUUCCUGACGACCACGUGGAGCUGAUAGUUUUGGAAUAACA